rnacentral:lncRNA from 13 species
AUGCAGAGGAGGACGGGGGGAUUCUAAGUUGAGAGGUGUAGUGUCAUAACUCAAACAUUCACGGAGAUAUUGCAGAAUACACAGGUGUGCGGUUUUAUGACGGGUUUUAAGACAGAGGCCUAAUCGGUGGUGUUGACGGCAGCAGAAGUUAACCCCUCUGCUAUCUCUUUGGGAUUGCAGGCGGACAUGCGCUCCAGAGAGUACCUGCGUGUCCACUUCCCAACUGCUGCAGACACCUGAGCAUAGAGGAGAUGGAGAUAAUGUGACGGGAUAGCAGUGGAGAAGGUGGAACGUUUUAAGUUCCUGAAAUGGUCCACACACACAGAUAAUGUGGUGAAGAAGGUGCAACAGAGCCU